UCACCUUACCAAUCAAUCUUCGAAAAACUCGAUAAAAAAGAAAUGCCGGACAUCUAAUCUAGUCUUUGCUUUCUGUCUUUUACUAUUACUAUUAUUUAUAGAAAGGCAUCCUCUCUAUACUCUAAACUCUUAACCGGGAGAAGUCACUCUUCUAAGUGGUAUAUACGAGCAAAGGGAGGAGGUCUUUAUGGAUAG
rnacentral:rRNA from 1 species